rnacentral:lncRNA from 1 species
AUGAUAUGACAUCUUAGUUAGUUUCACACCAUCAGUUAGAACACUAUAAAAUCAUGAGGAAUACUUCACUACUCCAUAUAAAUCUUGACCAUUUAUUUUUCUUAAUAGAUGGUUUAGAUUUAAUAUGAUUAUAGAGGUGACCUGCUAUUGAAGCAUAGGUACCAUUCACCAGGCACCCAUUUAAAGGGUAUUUUAGUCUUUGUAAAAUAGUUUGGUCCACAAAACCGGUUUUAUCCAACUAAGAAUAUUGUGGCCCUCUUAAAUACCUACAACAAUAGUUGAAUUUUAAAUUACAACCAAACUAUAAAUUUAAAUUCAAAACAACAUUUAAAACUUUAUAAAUCAAAUUUAAUUUUUUUUAAUAUAAAACAUAAAUUUUAAAAUAAAACUUUUUGUUCCAAUUCAAAAUUUCAAUUUAAAUCAAAAAUUAAAAUUUGGCUUUAAGAUUAAACGUUCAAUUUAGAUUCAAAUUUAAAAGUUUAAUAUAAAUUUCAAAAUUAAAAUUUUACAUUACAAUACUAAUUUUAAAAAUUAAAUUUUAAAUUCAAUAUUUUUUUGAGAUGAAUAGUUAAUAAAUUGGGUAUCAUCUAAUUUGGUAAGUUAUCAAAGUAAACAAGAUAUUUAAUAUUUAAAGGAUACUGACAAAUUGGGUAUAUACUAAUUUUUUUUCAAUAUUAUCAUGUUAAUUAAUUCAAAUCGGUAACCUGUUCAACAGGUUACUUCGUGUAAAUCCCAACUAUACCCUUUACUAAUUAAGAAAUUAAAUUUUAAUACUUGUGGUGUAUUGAAGCAUUCCUCUAAAAUCAUACAUUAUAUAUAACAAACUAAAUUGAAUUGUAUGACUAACUUAUAGCAAUUUAAAAAGUUAAGCAAACAAACACAAUAAAUUAAAAUUUGGGUAAAAACGUACAUAACUUAUCUGAACUAUGGAUCAUUUUAAUUUGAUUAUUAAACUUUUUAAAAUUUUGAUUUUACUAUCCAAUCUUUUAAUUUGUUUAAUCUAAGUUU